UACGUAGGGUGCAAGCGUUGUCCGGAAUUAUUGGGCGUAAAGAGCUCGUAGGCGGUCUGUCGCGUCGGAUGUGAAAAUCCAGGGCUCAACCCUGGACCUGCAUUCGAUACGGGCAGACUAGAGUUCGGUAGGGGAGACUGGAAUUCCUGGUGUAGCGGUGAAAUGCGUAGAUAUCAGGAGGAACACCGGUGGCGAAGGCGGAUCUCUGGGCCAUUACUGACGCUGAGGAGCGAAAGCGUGGGGAGCGAACAGG
rnacentral:rRNA from 1 species